GGGCCCGCACAAGCGGAGGAACAUGUGGUUUAAUUCGAUGAUACGCGAGGAACCUUACCCGGGAUUGAAAUGUACCUGACAGGCUUGGAAACAGGUCCUCUAGCAAUAGCAGGUAUGUAGGUGCUGCAUGGUUGUCGUCAGCUCGUGCCGUGAGGUGUCGGCUUAAGUGCCAUAACGAGCGCAACCCUCAUUGAUAGUUACUAACAGGUAAAGCUGAGGACUCUAUUAAGACUGCCGGCGUAAGCUGUGAGGAAGGUGGGGAUGACGUCAAAUCAGCACGGCCCUUACAUCCGGGGCGACACACGUGUUACAAUGGUGGGGACAAAGGGCAGCUACCUGGCGACAGGAUGCGAAUCUCCAAACCCCAUCUCAGUUCGGAUCGGAGUCUGCAACUCGACUCCGUGAAGCUGGAUUCGCUAGUAAUCGCGCAUCAGCCAUGGCGCGGUGAAUACGUUCCCGGGCCUU
rnacentral:rRNA from 1 species